GUGAGGAAUAUUGGACAAUGGGCGCAAGCCUGAUCCAGCCAUGCCGCGUGCAGGAAGACGCAUCUAUGGUGUGUAAACUGCUUUUGUACGGGAAGAAACACUCCCUCGUGAGGGAGCUUGACGGUACCGUAAGAAUAAGGAUCGGCUAACUCCGUGCCAGCAGCCGCGGUAAUACGGAGGAUCCAAGCGUUAUCCGGAAUCAUUGGGUUUAAAGGGUCCGUAGGCGGUUCAAUAAGUCAGUGGUGAAAGCCCAUCGCUCAACGAUGGAACGGCCAUUGAUACUGUUAGACUUGAAUUACAAGGAAGUAACUAGAAUAUGUAGUGUAGCGGUGAAAUGCUUAGAUAUUACAUGGAAUACCAAUUGCGAAGGCAGGUUACUACUUGUGGAUUGACGCUGAUGGACGAAAGCGUGGGGAGCGAACAGGAUUAGAAACCCCUGUAGUCC
rnacentral:rRNA from 1 species